GUGAGGGCUGUGUGACUGUGGUGAGGGCUGUGUGACUGUAUGGUGAGGGCUGUGUGACUGUAGGUGAGGGCUGUGUGACUGUAGUUGAAGGCUGUGUGACUGUAUGGUAAGGGCUGUGUGACUGUAGGUGAGAGCUGUGUGAUUAUAUGGUGUGUGACUGUGUAGUGUGACUGUGUGGUGUGACAGCAGAAUAACUGCUUGGUGGUCUCUGUAGUGUGACUGUGUGAGGGCUGUGUGUCACUAGGUGUGACUGUGUGAGGUGUGACUGUACAGUCCAGGAUGUAGCCCACUAGCUCUGGUCCAGGGCAUUAGUGCUGCUCUCUAACACUGAGCCUCCUGAACAGGCUGCACUAACACCCUGGACCAGAGCUAGUGGGCAACGUGACAGACAACAGAUGAGAUAUCUCAGCAUUAAUAGA
rnacentral:lncRNA from 1 species